CUUAAUUCUCCAGUCCCUCUUUAUAGGUUAGCUUUUAUUCUUGUCCUGCUUCCUCUGCCUCAUUCACAGUUUGUUCUUUCAGUAUUGGUUUUUAGUUUCUUUUAGGGUCAGCUCACCAUCUUGUCUUUAGUUCUAUUAGGUUCACCUGCUCCCUCUGCCUUCCUGCCUCCUUGUCUCACCUGUUCUUAGUUCCUUUGAUUACCUGCCUUUGUUCUCCCUCAGCAUAUUAGUUGUUUUUGUUUCUUUGUCCUUUGCUGGUUCCUCCGAUCACAUUACCUGAUUUGCUCAGUGUUUGCUACGUUCCUACAGUACAACGCAGAAGUUUCGAUUGUACUCAUGCCUUGCACCUGCGCCACAUCCAGGCCUGAUAACUGCAGCAGAAUGAAGAAAUCACGUGACUAGAUCCUGUCCGGCAGCAUGAAGUAGGAUAAAAGAUUUUAAAAAGCGAUCUAGAGUAAUUCAAGAACGAAUGAGAAACAAACUCGUUGACGUCUAUCGGUCUGGAAAGGGUUACAAAUCCAUUUUUUUUUAAAGAUUUGUUUUGCAGCACUAGUGGCCUUUGUCUUGUUUAUUUAAAAGUAGGCAGACAGGAAAUGGGGUGAAGAGAGGGGGGAGACAUGCAUCACAGGUCACCGUGGCUGGGACUCGAACCAGGCGACAGCUGCGUCGAGGGCCAAAGCCUCUCUAUACAUGGGCCGUGUCCUUCAAAGCCAUUUCUAAGGCUUUGAGACUAAAGGUGGGCACAGUAAGAAGCACGAUCGACAAAUGGCGAAAACAUGUGAAGAACUGUCCCAGGAGUGGCAAGACUGUCAAAAUACUCCCAGACUGCAUCCAUGACUCAUCCAGGUCACCAAGACCCACAUCAUCAUCUAAAGCGCUGCAAGCCUCACUUGCAUAAAAUCAAAGUUCAUGAUUCAACAAGAAAAGUAACUGCAUGCUCAUGAGAUUUUCAAGGCCAGAACGACUGCUGAGCAAAAGAACUCAAAGACCCGUCUCACAUGUCCCAAAAAGCAACUUAAUGUUCCCCCAAGACUUCUGGAAAAAUAUUCUGUGGACUGACGACACAAAAGUGGACCUUUUUGGAACCAUGACAGUAAAACAUGGCAGUGGUAGUGUGAUGCUCUGGGGAUGCUUCGCUGCUUCAGGACCUGGACGACUUGUAAAUAUUGGAACCAUAAUUUCUGCUCUCAGCAGGAUAACGAUCCUGUUGCAGAAGCAGCAAACAGAAGACUGUGAUGAAAUCAGAAGAAUAAAAAGAAACGUAUUUAAAGGUAAUUAAUGAACAAUCCUGUAAAUUUUCCUAAAUCAGAGACGAAAGCCUUUGGUGGUAAACAGCAAUUAUUUAUUGAACUGAAAUGAAAAUAAGUACCAGCUCUAUUGCAUUAUUGAACCAUGUUGCUCCUGUAACAGGGACGUGGGUGUUACUCUACUUUUUUUUUUUUAGUUUUCUCUCGUAGGAUGUAGUGAACACAAAGAUACAAGGAACAUUCAGCUAUCACAGAUUGCACACCAGAUACUGUAGUAACGCAGUCUAAUACCAGACCACCAAAAUAAUCCAGGAUUUUCCUCUUUUUUUUUCCUUCUUCGUUCCUUCAUUAGUUCAUAGUUUCUUUCCGUGAAGAGUACAAAAGUCCACCCGAAGCCGCGAACGGGGUCUGCGUCAGUCGGACGCUCAUCAGUCAACGCCUCGGAGAUAAAAACAAAAGCAUAAAUCCAGCAAAAAAAAAUCUAACAUGUACAAUACACUGACACAGAAAGUCAGCUGUGUUAAUAAAACAUGCAACAAGUAACAAAACUUGCUGAAAUCAUAAAAAAAAAAAAUCUAAAA